CCCUUAGAUGUUCUGGGCUGCACGCGCGCUACACUGAUGCACUCAACGAGUUUACGACCUUGCCCGAUAGGGUUGGGUAAUCUUUUUAAAAUGCAUCGUGAUGGGGUUAGAUUAUUGCAAUUAUUAAUCUUCAACGAGGAAUUCCUAGUAAGCGCGAGUCAUCAGCUCGUGCUGAUUACGUCCCUGCCCUUUGUACACACCGCCCGUCGCUCCUACCGAUUGAGUGCUCAGGUGAAUAAUUCGGACUGCAGCAAUGUUUGGAUCCCGAACGUUGCAGCGGAAAGUUUAGUGAACCUUAUCACUUAGAGGAAGGAGAAGUCGUAACA
rnacentral:rRNA from 1 species